rnacentral:rRNA from 1 species
CCUACGGGAGACAGCAGUGGGGAAUAUUGCACAAUGGGGGAAACCCUGAUGCAGCGACGCCGCGUGAGUGAAGAAGUAAUUCGUUACGUCAAGCUCUAUCAGCAGGGAAGAAAAUGACGGUACCUGAGUAAGAAGCCCCGGCUAACUACGUGCCAGCAGCCGCGGUAAUACGUAGGGGGCAAGCGUUAUCCGGAUUUACUGGGUGUAAAGGGAGCGUAGACGGGGCGCCAAGUCUGUAGUGAAAUGACGCAGCUUAACUGCGGAACUGCUUUGGAAACUGGCGAACUAGAGUGCGGGAGGGGGAAGCGGAAUUCCUAGUGUAGCGGUGAAAUGCGUAGAUAUUAGGAGGAACACCGGUGGCGAAGGCGGCAUACUGGACCGUAACUGACGUUGAGGCUCGAAAGCGUGGGGAGCAAACAGGAUUAGAUACCCCUGUAGUC